GCUUACGGCCACACCACUCUGGACCCGCCCGAUCUCGUCCGAUCUCGGAAGCCAAUCAGGGUUGGGCCUGGUUAGUACCUGGAUGGGAGACCGCUUGGGAAUACCAGGUGCUGUAAGUUUUC
rnacentral:rRNA from 1 species